rnacentral:lncRNA from 1 species
GAAUUUAAAAUAACAAGUAUGUGAACCAAAAAUCAGUAUUCAGUAAUAGAUCUAAUCUACUACUAUUAAAAUUCUGAACCCAAUAUCUGAGCAUAGAUAGUCGAACUCUAUGAUCGAGAAUGUAGAUCUAAAAGUUCUCUCUAGUCGCUCACAGUCACAUAAGCAUUCGACCUCUACAGAUGGUCCACAUGAAGCCUUAAGAC